rnacentral:rRNA from 1 species
AGCGAACGCUGGCGGCAGGCCUAACACAUGCAAGUCGAACGAACUCUUCGGAGUUAGUGGCGGACGGGUGUGUAACACGUGGGAACGUGCCCUUUGGUUCGGAAUAACUCAGGGAAACUUGUGCUAACACCGAAUGUGCCCUUCGGGGGAAAGAUUUAUCGCCAUUAGAGCGGCCCGCGUCUGAUUAGCUAGUUGGUGAGGUAACGGCUCACCAAGGCGACGAUCAGUAGCUGGUCUGUGAGAAUGACCAGCCACACUGGGACUGAGACACGGCCCAGACUCCUACGGGAGGCGGCAGUGGGUAAUCUUGCGCAAUGGGCGGAAGCCUGACGCAGCCAUGCCGCGUGAAUGAUGAAGGUCUUAGGAUUGUAAAGUUCUUUCACCGGGGACGAUAAUGACGGUACCCGGAGAAGAAGCCCCGGCUAACUUCGUG